rnacentral:rRNA from 1 species
AUUCAUCAUGUAUGCUUUUCUAAUUAUAAUGGGGGUGGGGGAUGAGAGUAAGGUAAAUAGUCUUUCGCUCGGCCACACACCGGAAUUUACUUUGAGGAAAUUAAAGUGUUCAUAGCAAAUAAGUGUUUGAAUACUACAGCAUGGAAUAACAAAAUAGGACUUUGGUAUUGUUUUGUUGGAGUAGAGAAACCAAAGUAAAGACGAAUAGGGACAGUUGGGGGCAUUGGAAUUUGAUAGUCAGAGGUGAAAUUCAUGGAUUUAUCAAAGACCAACAAAGGCGAAAGCAUUUGCCAAGGAUGUUUUCAUUGAUCAAGAACGAAAGUCAGGGGAUCGAAGACGAUUAGAUACCGUCGUAGUCUUGACCGUAAACGAUGCCGACUUGGGGGAGGUGCGAGAUGAGAAGCGCAUCACAACCAAAGGAGAAAUCAAAGUGUAUGGGUUCUGGGGGGAGUAUAGUCGCAAGGCCGAAACUUGAAGGAAUUGACGGAAGGGCACCACCAGGAGUGGAGCCUGCGGCUUAAUUUGACUCAACACGGGAAAACUUACCAGGUCCGGACAUGAUGAGGAUUGACAGAUUGAGAGCACUUUUAAGAUUUCAUGGGAGGUGGUGCAUGGCCGUUCUUAGUUGGUGGAGUGAUUUGUCAGGUUAAUUCCGAUAACGAGCGAGACCCCGUCAGGGUGAUGGAGAGUUGAAGAUGAGUCUUUAAUGUCUUACCUCCCUGGACACCCCA